rnacentral:tRNA from 1 species
AGAACUUUAGUAUACUCACAUUACAUGAUUCUGUCAGAAUCAAAACAUAGGAAACCCCUAUAAGUUCUA